AUGGCGACUGGCGCACGGGUGAGUAACACGUAUCCAACCUGCCGAUGACUCGGGGAUAGCCUUUCGAAAGAAAGAUUAAUACCCGAUGGCAUAGUUCUUCCGCAUGGUAGAACUAUUAAAGAAUUUCGGUCAUCGAUGGGGAUGCGUUCCAUUAGGUUGUUGGCGGGGUAACGGCCCACCAAGCCUUCGAUGGAUAGGGGUUCUGAGAGGAAGGUCCCCCACAUUGGAACUGAGACACGGUCCAAACUCCUACGGGAGGCAGCAUG
rnacentral:rRNA from 1 species